GCUGGCGGCGUGCCUAACACAUGCAAGUCGAGGGAGAAAGUGGACUUCGGUCUGCGAGUAAACCGGCGCACGGGUGAGUAUAACGUAGGUAACGUACCUUCGAGCCCGGGAUAACCAGUCGAAAGAUUGGCUAAUACCGGAUACGACCGCAGGGGCCUUGGCCUCAGCGGUGAAUGAUGGCCUCUACUUGUAAGCUAUCACUCGUUGAGCGGCCUGCGCACCAUUAGCUUGUUGGUGAGGUAACGGCUCACCAAGGCUGAGAUGGUUAGCUGGUCUGAGAGGAUGGCCAGCCACACUGGGACUGAGACACGGCCCAGACUCCUACGGGAGGCAGCAGUGGGGAAUAUUGCGCAAUGGGCGAAAGCCUGACGCAGCGACGCCGCGUGGGUGAUGAAGGCCUUCGGGUCGUAAAGCCCUGUCGGGAGGGAAGAAUGUUCCCCGACCUAAUACGUCGGGGAAGUGACGGUACCUCCUAAGGAAGCACCGGCUAACUCCGUGCCAGCAGCCGCGGUAAUACGGAGGGUGCAAGCGUUGUUCGGAAUCACUGGGCGUAAAGGGCGUGUAGGCGG
rnacentral:rRNA from 1 species